CGGGGCGGUCGUUAAUUUUGUAUCCAGGAAUUUCGUCAAGCCAGACGAAACCACGGGUUUUGUUUGCGUCCCACCAGAGAGAACUGUAGCGGCUGGGGUCCUUCCAUGUCGCCGCUGGUCCGCCGCUGCCGGAGGGGGUGUGGGGGGUGGUUAGGGGNUGUUAGUGGGACCGAAAUCGUGUUUGGACUCGGGCACUGGUACGGUUCGUUUUGGGGCGGGGAAACGGAGGCGGAGCGAGUGGUUUUGGGGGGAGAAGGCUGUGUAGAGGACGAGAGAGAUUGAGGAGACGAGAAAGGAGAGGAUGAAAAUUCUCGCGAAAAUAUCGCACGGUUUAUCGAGGAGAGAAAAUAAUUUGAGCUUUUUGACCGGGUCGUGACUCGGUUGCAUACGAUUCUGACUCAUUUUCCUCUUCUUGUUGAAAAUUUAUCGCUCCCCGUGGAGUUCUUAGUUAACAAAA
rnacentral:misc_RNA from 1 species